GGUAAUGGCCUACCAGGGCUCCGACGGGCAGCGGGUCUGAGAGGAUGAUCCGCCACACUGGAACUGAGACACGGUCCAGACUCCUACGGGAGGCAGCAGUGGGGAAUUUUGGACAAUGGGGGCAACCCUGAUCCAGCCAUUCCGCGUGAGUGAAGAAGGCCUUCGGGUUGUAAAGCUCUUUCAGCUGGAACGAAACGGUACGCUCUAACAUAGCGUGCUAAUGACGGUACCGGCAGAAGAAGCACCGGCUAACUACGUGCCAGCAGCCGCGGUAAUACGUAGGGUGCGAGCGUUAAUCGGAAUUACUGGGCGUAAAGCGUGCGCAGGCGGAUUGUUAAGCAAGAUGUGAAAUCCCCGGGCUUAACCUGGGAAUGGCAUUUUGAACUGGCAGUCUAGAGUGCGUCAGAGGGGGGUGGAAUUCCACGUGUAGCAGUGAAAUGCGUAGAGAUGUGGAGGAACACCAAUGGCGAAGGCAGCCCCCUGGGAUGACACCGACGCUCAUGUACGAAAGCGUGGGUAGCAAACAGGAUUAGAUACCCUGGUAGUCCACGCCCUAAACGAUGUCAACUGGUUGUUGGGGGAGUGAAAUCCCUUAGUAACGAAGCUAACGCGUGAAGUUGACCGCCUGGGGAGUACGGUCGCAAGAUUAAAACUCAAAGGAAUUGACGG
rnacentral:rRNA from 1 species